GUCGCUGUGCCCGAGUGGUUAAGGGGAUAGACUUGAAUCCUCGUCAGGCAUCUAUUGGCUUCGGCCUCGCAAGUUCGAAUCUUGUCGGCGACG